UUAAUCAAUUGUUUAAUCAGACCAAGGAAUUACUAUCUCAUCGGCUUUGGACAAUGACUCGGGUGUCAAAAACUUCGCUUUCUGACACAAAAUCGAUUGAAUUUUAAAAUUGACUACUAAGCGGAGGGUAAUAAGGCGGGAAAACCCCGACAUUAUUAUGAAACAUACAAGCUUUCAACAUGCUUUCAACACCUUGUUUACCGUGGAUUAUUUCUAUUGCUUUAUGAUCUGCAACUGAUGUUUUUUCAGUUAUGCCACAUGACUCAUAAAACUCUCAUUGCGCGAGCUUUACAAUCAUUGCAUGCCGAGUUGUUGUGUCGGCACACACAAUAUAUCAGAGAGUAGGAACUUCGCAACCUUCGUAUACCAACUUACCUGAAAUAGCCACAAUGUGGGAAGAACCCUAAUUUAAAGGAACGACGAUCUGAGCAAAGAUGAUGGAGAAGGCGCAUGAUCGGAAAAGGUGAUCGGAGAAGAUAUUCGUCCAGUGAUGAACGUCUUACGUGUAUGAUGACUUACUCCCUUAUUCAUAAAACUUUACGGGGCUGAUUUAGUUAAAUUAUGUUUUAUCCCUUUCUUACAAAUACAUAAGGCAAAAUGACAGAUAAAGAUGAACGAUUCAUAGCUAAUUCAGGCCAGUAACGCGUUUAUGUGUUCACUUUUUUUGUUAAAAUUAAAUAAAAAUAAUUUAAUAGCAAUGACAUCUGCGAUCUUGAGCACGCACGGCCGUCCGGUCAGUGCUCAGCGAGCUACAGUUGGAGAAGGACCGGAACUCACGGCGCCUUAAUUUCUUUCGUACCUACCAUGUAUUUAUCCGACUAAUGCACUGCGAAUGGAUUAUUUUUCUUACUUCACUGUGUAACCAGUUUCUUGUUUCGCGAAUCAAAGGAUAAAUUCCUUCGGUUUUGGCGCCACAUUUUGUAAACAGUUUAUUUAUACGACCGUAAAAUAUCAUUCUGUUGUCUAAAUGCCGUGAAUGUUUGCUUUUGCAUUCCUGGCCGGGUAAUAUCGUAUGUUUUGAUAAUACGGAAAAUGUCCAUGUCCCGUGGAGAGGUGGAAUGCGAGCAUGAAGCCGAGAAUGACAGCGUCCAGCGCCGUAUAAAUAACCAGGCAUGCGGCAGGAAUGCGAAGCGACGACCCUUUGAGCACCUCGAGUGUCGCGACGACUGCUGGCUUUCGUGAAAAUUCACAUGUCAAUUUUACUUUACUGUUGUGAAUCAGUCAAUUUUCACUAGUUUUACUAUUGUGAGUCGAAAAUGCUAGUGCCUUCGCCUGCGGCUCCGGCUCACAUUGUAACCCAAGCCACUCGCCUUUUUGGACCCUUCUUAUACAACGUUUGCAUAAAAUACUAUUAUGUUAUUAACAUGUAGCGUGCAAAAGAAAAGACAUCGCUAAGAGCGGUCUUAUAAUGAUUUGAAUAAUUCUACAUCAGUCAUGCAGUGAACCUGAAGGCAAAACGGAUUAAUUGGUGUUUAGGCAAUUCUUUGUUUUAAUAAAUUAUUACAAUUAUA